AAACCAACAGGGAUUGCCCUAGUAACGGCGAGUGAAGCGGCAACAGCUCAAAUUUGAAAUCUGGCCUUCGGGUCCGAGUUGUAAUUUGUAGAGGAUGCUUUUGGCGCGGUGCCUUCCGAGUUCCCUGGAAUGGGACGCCUUAGAGGGUGAGAGCCCCGUAUGGUUGGACACCAAGCCUCUGUAAAGCUCCUUCGACGAGUCGAGUAGUUUGGGAAUGCUGCUCUAAAUGGGAGGUAAAUUUCUUCUAAAGCUAAAUAUUGGCCAGAGACCGAUAGCGCACAAGUAGAGUGAUCGAAAGAUGAAAAGCACUUUGAAAAGAGGGUUAAAUAGCACGUGAAAUUGUUGAAAGGGAAGCGUUUGCGACCAGACCUUUUCGUAGCGGAUCAUCCGGUGUUCUCACCGGUGCACUUCGCUUCGUUUAGGCCAGCAUCGGUUUCUGUAGGGGGAUAAAAGCUUGGGGAACGUAGCUCCCUCGGGAGUGUUAUAGCCCCUCGCAUAAUACCUUUACGGGGACCGAGGACCGCGCUUUAUGCAAGGAUGCUGGCGUAAUGGUCGUCAACGAC
rnacentral:rRNA from 5 species